rnacentral:rRNA from 1 species
GACGAACGCUGGCGGCGUGCUUAACACAUGCAAGUCGAACGGAGUGGCCAACGGGUGAGUAACAAGUGGGUGACCUGCCCUGCACUUCGGGAUAAGACCGGGAAACUGGGUCUAAUACCGGAUAGUGAGGGUUGGGCCCGCGGCCUAUCCGCUUGUUGGUCGGGUAAUGGACUACCAAGGCGGUGACGGGUACCCGGCCUGAGAGGGUGGACGGCCACAGUGGUACUGAGACACGGCCCAGACUCCUACGGGGGGCAGCAGGGGGGAAUAUUACACAAUGAGCGGAAGCCUGAUGCAGCGGCGCCGCGUGGGGGAUGACGGCCUUCGGGUUGUAAACUCCUUUCACCAUCGACGCGGUAGAUGGAGAAGAAGCACCGGCUAACUACGUGCCAGCAGCCGCGGUAAUUC